UCUUUAUUUAGUCGCUGUUACCCAUCUGUGGAUAUUAUGCGGGGAAAUGGAAAGAAAAAAAACACGGCUUCCUAUUCAUUGUCUGUCGUCAUCGCUGCCUUCACACCCUCCAGCGCUGGGGAGCGGGCAGCUCUGAGUAAUUCCCCAGACACUGCCCAGAGCCUUCCACCCGAGGAGUCAGCCUCUUAGGACUCUCCAGUUACCCAAACCCGCUUCCUUCCAGGUUCCUCUCCUGCAGAUGAUCCUACAUUAUUGCACACUGCAGAUUUCUGAUGUCUUUAGGAACGUGAAAUGGGUGACCUGAAGCCUGGAGAUCCACAAAACCGGAGGCAGUGUGUGAAAAUUCGUUUUCACUCCCACAAGGCAAGCCCUGCAUCGUGUUCCUCUCUGCUCACAAGCUCCCCAGCCAUUCCAGCUGCUGGGAACACCACAGCAGGUCUUUCAGAUGAGAAACGUAAUUUCUGUUCUGAAAAAGAUGGGGCAUCUUUGGAGAAGAGAAAACCACAGAGACGGGUUGUUCAUGUGUGUGAGGAGGGCUGCGGGGACCCUGAGAGGUGAGUGCUGGGACUUGGUGGGUUUUUCCGGGACCACACAGCCCAG
rnacentral:lncRNA from 1 species